GACGUAGGGCGCGAGCGUUGUCCGGAUUUAUUGGGCGUAAAGAGCUCGUAGGCGGCUUGUCGCGUCGUCUGUGAAAUCCCGCGGCUCAACUGCGGGUCUGCAGUCGAUACGGGCAGGCUAGAGUUCGGUAGGGGAGACUGGAAUUCCUGGUGUAGCGGUGAAAUGCGCAGAUAUCAGGAGGAACACCGGUGGCGAAGGCGGGUCUCUGGGCCGAUACUGACGCUGAGGAGCGAAAGCGUGGGGAGCAAACAGG
rnacentral:rRNA from 1 species